rnacentral:rRNA from 1 species
ACAGCGCUAUUUAGGUUAGAGUUUGAUCCUGGCUCAGGAUGAACGCUGGCGGCGUGCCUAACACAUGCAAGUCGAGCGAUUCUCUUCGGAGAAGAGCGGCGGACGGGUGAGUAACGCGUGGGUAACCUGCCCUGUACACACGGAUAACAUACCGAAAGGUAUGCUAAUACGAGAUAAUAUGCUUUUAUCGCAUGGUAGAAGUAUCAAAGCUCCGGCGGUACAGGAUGGACCCGCGUCUGAUUAGCUAGUUGGUGAGGUAACGGCUCACCAAGGCGACGAUCAGUAGCUGGUCUGAGAGGAUGAUCAGCCACAUUGGGACUGAGACACGGCCCAAACUCCUACGGGAGGCAGCAGUGGGGAAUAUUGGACAAUGGGCGCAAGCCUGAUCCAGCCAUGCCGCGUGAGUGAUGAAGGCCCUAGGGUUGUAAAGCUCUUUUGUGCGGGAAGAUAAUGACGGUACCGCAAGAAUAAGCCCCGGCUAACUUCGUGCCAGCAGCCGCGGUAAUCGCC